rnacentral:rRNA from 1 species
CCUACGGGUGGCUGCAGUGAGGAAUAUUGGUCAAUGGGCGCUAGCCUGAACCAGCCAAGUAGCGUGAAGGAUGACUGCUCUAUGGGUUGUAAACUUCUUUUAUAUGGGAAUAAAGUGCAGUAUGUAUACUGCUUUGCAUGUACCUUAUGAAUAAGGAUCGGCUAACUCCGUGCCAGCAGCCGCGGUAAUACGGAGGAUCCGAGCGUUAUCCGGAUUUAUUGGGUUUAAAGGGAGCGUAGGCGGGUUGUUAAGUCAGUUGUGAAAGUUUGCGGCUCAACCGUAGAAUUGCAGUUGAUACUGGCAGCCUUGAGGACAGUUGAGGUAGGCGGAAUGCGUGGUGUAGCGGUGAAAUGCUUAGAUAUCACGAAGAACGCCGAUUGCGAAGGCAGCCUGCUAGACUAUGACUGACGCUGAUGCUCGAAAGUGUGGGGAUCAAACAGGAUUAGAUACCCCUGUAGUC